UUUCCGUAGGUGAACCUGCGGAAGGAUCAUUGCUGAGUUUUGAAUGAAGUUGUUCUGGUCUUUCGGGGCAAGUGAACGCUUCUCUCAAUCCAUCUUACACCUGUGCACCUAUCGGGGAAGACUUGGAUCUAAGUUGGGUCACGACGGCGAUCUACAGUCUCCUCUUUAUACCAAAUAACAGUUUUAGAAAGUCUUUUUUGCUUGAUGCAAACUUAAAUAAAUACAACUUUCAGCAACGGAUCUCUUGGCUCUC
rnacentral:misc_RNA from 1 species